rnacentral:tRNA from 1 species
UGCAUCGGCCGGGAAUCAAACCCGGGCCACCCGCGUGGCAGGCGAGCAUUCUACCACUGAACCACCGAUGC